rnacentral:rRNA from 1 species
UCCGUAGGUGAACCUGCGGAGGGAUCAUUACACAAAUAUGAAGGCGGGCUGGAAUCUCUCGGGGUUACAGCCUUGCUGAAUUAUUCACCCUUGUCUUUUGCGUACUUCUUGUUUCCUUGGUGGGUUCGCCCACCACUAGGACAAACAUAAACCUUUUGUAAUUGCAAUCAGCGUCAGUAACAAAUUAAUAAUUACAACUUUCAACAACGGAUCUCUUGGUUCUGGCAUCGAUGAAGAACGCAGCGAAAUGCGAUAAGUAGUGUGAAUUGCAGAAUUCAGUGAAUCAUCGAAUCUUUGAACGCACAUUGCGCCCUUUGGUAUUCCAAAGGGCAUGCCUGUUCGAGCGUCAUUUGUACCCUCAAGCUUUGCUUGGUGUUGGGCGUCUUGUCUCUAGCUUUGCUGGAGACUCGCCUUAAAGUAAUUGGCAGCCGGCCUACUGGUUUCGGAGCGCAGCACAAGUCGCACUCUCUAUCAGCAAAGGUCUAGCAUCCAUUAAGCCUUUUUUCAACUUUUGACCUCGGAUCAGGUAGGGAUACCCGCUGAACUUAAGCAU